rnacentral:tRNA from 1 species
UCCCUGGUGGUCCAGUGGCCAAGACUCCCUGCCCCUAAUGCAGGGGGCCCAGGUUCGAUCCCUCGUCAGGGAA